rnacentral:rRNA from 1 species
UACGGAGGGGGCUAGCGUUGUUCGGAAUUACUGGGCGUAAAGCGCACGUAGGCGGCUUUGCAAGUCAGAGGUGAAAGCCCGGGGCUCAACCCCGGAAUUGCCUUUGAAACUGCAUCGCUAGAAUUGUGGAGAGGUAAGUGGAAUUCCGAGUGUAGAGGUGAAAUUCGUAGAUAUUCGGAAGAACACCAGUGGCGAAGGCGACUUACUGGACACAUAUUGACGCUGAGGUGCGAAAGCGUGGGGAGCAAACAGG